rnacentral:rRNA from 1 species
CUGGCGGCGUGCCUAAUACAUGCAAGUAGAACGCUGAAGAGAGGAGCUUGCUCUUCUUGGAUGAGUUGCGAACGGGUGAGUAACGCGUAGGUAACCUGCCUUGUAGCGGGGGAUAACUAUUGGAAACGAUAGCUAAUACCGCAUAACAAUGGAUGACACAUGUCAUUUAUUUGAAAGGGGCAAUUGCUCCACUACAAGAUGGACCUGCGUUGUAUUAGCUAGUAGGUGAGGUAAUGGCUCACCUAGGCGACGAUACAUAGCCGACCUGAGAGGGUGAUCGGCCACACUGGGACUGAGACACGGCCCAGACUCCUACGGGAGGCAGCAGUAGGGAAUCUUCGGCAAUGGGGGCAACCCUGACCGAGCAACGCCGCGUGAGUGAAGAAGGUUUUCGGAUCGUAAAGCUCUGUUGUAAGUCAAGAACGGGUGUGAGAGUGGAAAGUUCACACUGUGACGGUAGCUUACCAGAAAGGGACGGCUAACUACGUGCCAGCAGCCGCGGUAAUACGUAGGUCCCGAGCGUUGUCCGGAUUUAUUGGGCGUAAAGCGAGCGCAGGCGGUUUGAUAAGUCUGAAGUUAAAGGCUGUGGCUCAACCAUAGUUCGCUUUGGAAACUGUCAAACUUGAGUGCAGAAGGGGAGAGUGGAAUUCCAUGUGUAGCGGUGAAAUGCGUAGAUAUAUGGAGGAACACCGGUGGCGAAAGCGGCUCUCUGGUCUGUAACUGACGCUGAGGCUCGAAAGCGUGGGGAGCGAACAGGAUUAGAUACCCUGGUAGUCCACGCCGUAAACGAUGAGUGCUAGGUGUUGGAUCCUUUCCGGGAUUCAGUGCCGCAGCUAACGCAUUAAGCACUCCGCCUGGGGAGUACGACCGCAAGGUUGAAACUCAAAGGAAUUGACGGGGGCCCGCACAAGCGGUGGAGCAUGUGGUUUAAUUCGAAGCAACGCGAAGAACCUUACCAGGUCUUGACAUCCCGAUGCUAUUUCUAGAGAUAGAAAGUUACUUCGGUACAUCGGUGACAGGUGGUGCAUGGUUGUCGUCAGCUCGUGUCGUGAGAUGUUGGGUUAAGUCCCGCAACGAGCGCAACCCCUAUUGUUAGUUGCCAUCAUUCAGUUGGGCACUCUAGCGAGACUGCCGGUAAUAAACCGGAGGAAGGUGGGGAUGACGUCAAAUCAUCAUGCCCCUUAUGACCUGGGCUACACACGUGCUACAAUGGUUGGUACAACGAGUUGCGAGUCGGUGACGGCGAGCUAAUCUCUUAAAGCCAAUCUCAGUUCGGAUUGUAGGCUGCAACUCGCCUACAUGAAGUCGGAAUCGCUAGUAAUCGCGGAUCAGCACGCCGCGGUGAAUACGUUCCCGGGCCUUGUACACACCGCCCGUCACACCACGAGAGUUUGUAACACCCGAAGUCGGUGAGGUAACCUUUUGGAGCCAGCCGCCUAAGGUGGGACAGAUGAUUGGGGUG